ensembl:lncRNA novel transcript, antisense to C7orf33 and CNTNAP2
ACUUAUUACACUGUAUUGGAAUCGCUUCUUUUCUCUUUCUCUGUGAAUUUCUUGAGAGCACAGACUACAUUCUGCUUAACUUUUUAUCCCCAGCUUUCAGCACAGUGCCUGGCUUGUCUGAGGCGCAUGGCCCCGGGAGAGGAGGAGAAUGGGACGGUGGUUCAGAUCUGCUGAUGUAGCUGUGGUCAGUCACUGGGGAGAAUAGGCCUGUGGAUUUCUGCUCCUCUGAGAUGGAUCCAUCACUGACUACUGAACUUGUUUUCUCAUUGGCUCAACUUAAGAAGGUUCUAGAGGUUGUAUCUGUUUGCUCGGGAUGCCAUAACAAAGGACCACAGACUGGGGGGUUUAAACAGCAGAAGUUUACUUUCUCACAGUACUGGAGGCUGGAAGUCUGAGGUCAAGGUGCUGGCGGUGUCGGUUUCUCCUGAGCCCUCUCUCUUUUGCCGUCCUCUUUCAUUCAGUCCCAAUUGUGGGAAAUGAAGUUUUACAGCCAUGGAAGGGAAGAUGAAGGGAAGAAGCGGAGAAGACAGAUUUCUAUAGAUCACAAGGCAUUUUGGAUGCCAUAAAUAUGGUGGAUACCCUGUAGUUCUGCAGUGUCUUUCUUUAGGGAAUCUCAAGUGCCUACUCUCUAAUUUAGUCCGCUGUGUGGCUGUGGUCUUUAAGUUGGAGUCUGUGGAGACAAAGAGGGAGGUCUUGCUGUGCCUGACCCUCUGGGAUGUGUUACCACCCACGCCGACCUGCUCUCUGCGGCUUUCUGACAGCACCUCACAGCCCUGGAACUGGAAAUGUGGCUCUCACUGAAGCUGCCCAGAGAGAGGGUCUCUCAGUGAAGACCCCCUGUUGUCAGCUGGGGCAGCCGGAAAGAAAGACUGGGAAUUCUCUUCACACAGGAUUUGAUAUGCUUGGUGGCUCCAGAAAAAUGCAAGUGUGCACAUUCAUCCACUUGACAAAGGGUGACUUAACUGUCAGUGUCCUGUGGAUUCAAACUGAAAGGGUUUGGGCGAAAGAAAGAAGAAGGUGGGACUGCGAAUAAAUUGAAAACAGCAUUUUGGAGGCAACAGCUGUGAAACAGAAGGGAAGGAAAAUUUAUGACCAUAUACAUUUCAGUAGGAAUUUAUAACUUUUUAUGAACAUUAUCUUAAAGUUAGUCUCUAGACAUAGGUCUAAAAAUAAAAUUAUGCUGAACUGUGUACCCAGAGAAUGGUAAAUGGGAAUAACGUUCUUGAAAGGGAUGACGUAGGUCCAGGGAAAGGUCACAUUGAAUAAUCAAGGUCGGUGAAGGUCAAAAUCACAAAGAAGGACCCUGCAUUCACUCCUGUCCUGAUGGCAGCUUCAGUGGAAACCCUUGGCCAUCGCUUUGCCUCUCCAAGCAUUCGAGAAAGACCGUCUGGUGCCAUAUUGUCUUCUGGGGACAGCUGAUCACCUGGGGAGAGCUGCAUCGUGCUCCUACCCGUGUCAGAUCUGGGCAGAGGACAGACAAAAGUCCUCUGGAGUUUUCCGCAGUGAGAGUCACAGAAGUUCAUCUAAGGAAUUGGAGCCAAGGUUAGAAACUUCUCUGGAGAUGUUCUAGUUUUGUUUGCUAGCUCGGCAGCUGCGUAAUGACACUCCCUCCAGCAGGGCACAUAGUUCACUUCAAAUGACAAAUGGUGGGACCUUAGUAUUUUUCACUGUCGGUUAAUUAUCAGAAAUAGAUUUGUUGCUAUCUAGAUACCAGCCAUUUGUCCAAAUUACUAGGAUAAGAUUCCCAAGAAAGCCUGAAAUCAGAUAGCUUUCUCCUCCUUAUUUUAAAAUAAACAGAAAUAAAAUUA